UACGUAGGGUGCAAGCGUUAAUCGGAAUUACUGGGCGUAAAGCGUGCGCAGGCGGUUUUGUAAGUUUGUCGUGAAAGCCCCGGGCUCAACCUGGGAAUUGCGAUGAAGACUGCAAGGCUUGAAUCUGGCAGAGGGGGGUAGAAUUCCACGUGUAGCAGUGAAAUGCGUAGAGAUGUGGAGGAACACCGAUGGCGGAAGGCAGCCCCCCUGGGUCAAGAUUGACGCUCGAUGCACGAAAGCGUGGGGAGCAAACAG
rnacentral:rRNA from 1 species